rnacentral:rRNA from 1 species
GAUGAACGCUAGCGGCAGGCUUAAUACAUGCAAGUCGAGGGGCAGCAUGAAGUAGCAAUACUUUGAUGGCGACCGGCAAACGGGUGCGGAACACGUACACAACCUUCCUUUAAGUGGGGAAUAGCCCAGAGAAAUUUGGAUUAAUACCCCGUAACACAACGAAGUGGCAUCACUUUGUUGUUAUAGUUUCGGCGCUUAAAGAUGGGUGUGCGUAUGAUUAGAUAGUUGGCGAGGUAACGGCUCACCAAGUCUACGAUCAUUAGCUGAUGUGAGGGCAUGGUCAGCCACACGGGCACUGAGACACGGGCCCGACUCCUACGGGAGGCAGCAGUAAGGAAUAUUGGUCAGUGGACGCAAGUCUGAACCAGCCAUGCCGCGUGAAGGAUUAAGGUCCUCUGGAUUGUAAACUUCUUUUAUAUGGGACGAAAAAAGGUCUUUCUAGACCCCUUGACGGUACCAUAUGAAUAAGCACCGGCUAACUCCGUGCCAGCCGCCGCGGUAAAAC